rnacentral:rRNA from 1 species
AUUGAACGCUGGCGGCAGGCCUAACACAUGCAAGUCGAACGAGUGGCGGACGGGUGAGUAAUGUCUGGACACCUGCCUGAUGGAGGGGGAUAACUACUGUAAACGGUAGCUAAUACCGCAUACCAUCAGAUGUGCCGAGGUGGGAUUAGCUUGUUGGUGGGGUAACGGCUCACCAAGGCGACGAUGCCUAGCUGGCCUGAGAGGAUGACCGGCCACACUGGAACUGAGACACGGUCCAGACGCCUACGGGAGGCAGCAGUGGGGAAUAUUCGACAAUGGGCGAAAGCCUGAUGCAGCCAUGCCGCGUGUAUGAAGAAGGCCUUCGGGUUGUAAAGUACUGUCAGCGGGGAGGCGGUACCCGCACAAGAAGCAACGGCUAACUCCGUGCCAGCAGCCGCGGUAAUUC